rfam:Gossypium hirsutum cultivar TM-1 chromosome 8, whole genome shotgun sequence
AUCCCAUGAUGAGGACACUUAUGAAGCAAUUCUUUAAAUCUUUCGCAUACAUAAUAAAAAGACUCGUCAUCCAAUUGUUGAAAAGUGGUUAUCUCAUUUUGUAACU